GCGGUCAAGGGUAGGGAGCGCGCUGAACAUUUGUAUAACGGAAAUAGGAAUACAUUGUACGGUCCUUGUUUCCGAUUGCGGAUCUGGCGCACGAGACACGAGUGUUAGCCGUUUGGGCUUCCAGUGGGCGUUCAAGUAAAGAAACCGGGUGCGGUGGCUACAUCUGAUUGAUUGAAAUGUUCUGCUUGUUUUUUUUUUUUUACAGAAACCCAUCCUACUGCAGGGGUCCGAACGGUCCACCACUCAGAUCAAGUACAACGGAGAAAGAGACCUUCUGUUUUCUGUCUCUAAAGAUCCACAGGAGAGUGAGGCGAGGACAAAGGUGUCAGCUAGAGGUUCUGACCUGAUCUUUAGGAAUCCCUGCAGAAAAACAACCCACACUUUGAACUCCACAAACCAGUCAUCCAGGCCAUUUCAGCCACUCAGGCCAGUGCCAAAGCACCUCCACCUCCAACACACUCUACAGGAGAAGAAGGUACUAACAUCACUCCAAAGAGACAUCAUCAUUCAACCGGCUGACAAAGGAAGAUGUGCAGUCAUCCUUAACACAUCAGAUUGCUUUGAAAUACUUUUUGGACUUUUAAACACAAAAUAUUCACUUGGCAGCAUGUUUUAAGACAUAAUCUUGUAUUCUAAGGCAUUUCUGGGACUUUUUAUUUUUUGCAUUCUUUCACGAUGGUAAGGCUAUAGUAAGGCAUGUUUUGGGUGAUUUUUGAAAUAUUCAUAUAAAAUACUUUUUGGAGUUUUAAACACAAAAU